AUUGAACGCUGGCGGCAGGCCUAACACAUGCCAGUCGAGCGGAUGAAGGGAGCUUGCUCCUGGAUUCAGCGGCGGACGGGUGAGUAAUGCCUAGGAAUCUGCCUUGUAGUGGGGGAUAACGUCCGGAAACGGGCGCUAAUACCGCAUACGUCCUGAGGGAGAAAGUGGGGGAUCUUCGGACCUCACGCUAUCAGAUGAGCCUAGGUCGGAUUAGCUAGUUGGUGGGGUAAAGGCCUACCAAGGCGACGAUCCGUAACUGGUCUGAGAGGAUGAUCAGUCACACUGGAACUGAGACACGGUCCAGACUCCUACGGGAGGCAGCAGUGGGGAAUAUUAGACAAUGGGCGAAAGCCUGAUCCAGCCAUGCCGCGUGUGUGAAGAAGGUCUUCGGAUUGUAAAGCACUUUAAGUUGGGAGGAAGGGCAGUAAGUUAAUACCUUGCUGUUUUGACGUUACCAACAGAAUAAGCACCGGCUAACUUCGUG
rnacentral:rRNA from 1 species